UCCCAAGGAUCCUGUGGUCCUACACAGAGC
rnacentral:piRNA from 1 species